AGAGUUUGAUCCUGGCUCAGGAUGAACGCUGGCGGCGUGCUUAACACAUGCAAGUCGAACGAAGCAUUUAAGAACGAUUCUUCGGAUGAGGACUUUUAUGACUGAGUGGCGGACGGGUGAGUAACGCGUGGGUAACCUGCCCUAUACAGGGGGAUAACAGUUAGAAAUGACUGCUAAUACCGCAUAAGCGCACGGAGCCGCAUGGCUCAGUGUGAAAAACUGAGGUGGUAUAGGAUGGACCCGCGUCUGAUUAGCUUGUUGGUGAGGUAACGGCUCACCAAGGCGACGAUCAGUAGCCGGCCUGAGAGGGCGACCGGCCACAUUGGGACUGAGACACGGCCCAAACUCCUACGGGAGGCAGCAGUGGGGAAUAUUGCACAAUGGGGGAAACCCUGAUGCAGCGACGCCGCGUGAGUGACGAAGUAUUUCGGUAUGUAAAGCUCUAUCAGCAGGGAAGAAAAUGACGGUACCUGACUAAGAAGCCCCGGCUAACUACGUGCCAGCAGCCGCGGUAAUACGUAGGGGGCAAGCGUUAUCCGGAUUUACUGGGUGUAAAGGGAGCGUAGGUGGCAUGGUAAGCCAGAAGUGAAAACCCAGGGCUCAACUCUGCGGAUUGCUUUUGGAACUAUCAGGCUGGAGUGCUGGAGGGGUAAGCGGAAUUCCUAGUGUAGCGGUGAAAUGCGUAGAUAUUAGGAGGAACACCGGUGGCGAAGGCGGCUUACUGGACAGAAA
rnacentral:rRNA from 1 species